rnacentral:rRNA from 1 species
GUAGGUGGCAAGCGUUGUCCGGGAAUUAUUGGGGCGUAAAGCGCGCGCAGGCGGUUCUUUAAGUCUGAUGUGAAAGCCCACGGGCUCAACCGUGGAGGGUCAUUGGAAACUGGAGAACUUGAGUACAGAAGAGGAAAGCGGAAUUCCACGCGUAGCGGUGAAAUGCGUAGAGAUGUGGAGGAACACCAGUGGCGAAGGCGGCUUUCUGGUCUGUAACUGACGCUGAGGCGCGAAAGCGUGGGGAGCAAACAGGAUUAGAUACCCUGGUAGUCCACGCCGUAAACGAUGAGUGCUAAGUGUUAGGGGGUUUCCGCCCCUUAGUGCUGCAGCUAACGCAUUAAGCACUCCGCCUGGGGAGUACGGCCGCAAAGGCUGA